CUCGUAGAUACCUGAAAAUCCUUAGUCACUGGUAUGGUUUGACGAACCAUUCUAAAUCGAGUAGUUCAAGGUAUUCCAAAUCAUAUAAGCAGCCAACCAGUACGGUUCAGACGUUCGAUUCUGAAUGCUGACGAAAACAGAGCGAAGAAGAAGAAAAAGAGGAAGAGAAAGAGGAGAGGAAGGAGAUGGAAAGGCCGAUAAUGGCCUACCAAGGCCGCCAGAGGGCUGCUGAGGCCUCUAGAGCUUCACAGUCCUCAACGAGAGAGAUAGACAGAGGAGGGAGGGAGAG
rnacentral:lncRNA from 1 species